AAACAACCUCAAAAAACCCAAAAAACCAAAAAAAAAAAAAAAAAAAAAAAAAAAAAAAAAAAAAGGGUGGGGGGAUGGAUACUGGGUAAGGAAAAAUAUUGGAUGGCCACUACAGGCAGACACUGUGUUUUGUUUGUUUGCUUGUUUUUUGUUUUUUUUUUCACAGAUGAGGGGCCUAGGGUUCAUAAAUGCUAAGUGAUAUUCCCAGGACUAUAGAUCUAGAGCAUGGCAGGGCUGGGAUUUGAAUCCCAAAACUUUUGUCUUGUCAUAAAAAGACAAACUUGGCCAGGAACUGGUUUUCUUUAAGAAAGGAUCUGGAAGGUGACAGGGAGGUGAAGGAGUGGAGCUUCCUUGAAAUGGCAGACCCAGAGACCUAGAGGAGCCUUGCUUCUGUGGUCUAAUUGGACUAAUUUUAGGCUGUUAAUUAGCCUCUGGCAAUUA
rnacentral:lncRNA from 1 species